rnacentral:rRNA from 1 species
ACACGGAAUGCUUAGUACGGCGAGUGAGCGGCAAAAGCUCAAAUUUGAAAUCUGGUACCUUCGGUGCCCGAGUUGUAAUUUGGAGAGGGCAACUUUGGGGCCGUUCCUUGUCUAUGUUCCUUGGAACAGGACGUCAUAGAGGGUGAGAAUCCCGUGUGGCGAGGAGUGCGGUUCUUUGUAAAGUGCCUUCGAAGAGUCGAGUUGUUUGGGAAUGCAGCUCUAAGUGGGUGGUAAAUUCCAUCUAAAGCUAAAUAUUGGCGAGAGACCGAUAGCGAACAAGUACAGUGAUGGAAAGAUGAAAAGAACUUUGAAAAGAGAGUGAAAAAGUACGUGAAAUUGUUGAAAGGGAAGGGCAUUUGAUCAGACAUGGUGUUUUGUGCCCUCUGCUCCUUGUGGGUAGGGGAAUCUCCCAUUUCACUGGGCCAGCAUCAGGUUUGGUAAAGGGAUAUCUCCAUAUGAUUGGUCCUUGCCAGUAUUGUCAGUGGAGCCAAUGGGCAAUCUCCAUUGAAGACUGCGAACUGCCUCAAAGCUGCUGACAUGGUGAUUAUGUGUUUGCUUUCAUAACCCUCCCAAAAAGAAAAAAAACCA